UGCUCCAGAUCAGGCAGCAUCAAGAACAGGGGGGGUUUCUAUGAUUCUGUGACCCACUGACCUGGGAGGGGAAGAGCCUGGACAGAGCUACCCUGUGAUGAGAAAGCAGCCGGGAUCAUCCAGAGAAAUGAGCGGACUGUGUGCAGAACCUAGACACUAGGAUUCAAUGGAGGCACGAGGCUGGCACUCCAACUCUGUCACCAGCAUUUCCAAAUGCAGGGCAUGAACCUGCAAGAGGCUGCUGGAACAAUCCCACCCCAGGAAGAGGACUCUACAGAUACUCAGCGUCACGACCGGCACUCAGUGGCGAUUCUCCAUUCAACCGGAUGACUCAACACGGUGAUGAUCUAUCUCCUCAACACAGCGACCCACCGCUCACCACAGUGACACUCCAUUCAAAUCGGCCGCCUUCCACUCAGCAGACCGACCCUGCACUCAACGUGGUGAGGCUUCUCUCUGUAUGGCGAACCUCUACUCAACACAGUGACUCCCCCGCGACACAAUGACCCUCCGUCCAACUUUGUGGUCCUCCACUCAAUGUGGUGACCAUCCUGGUUGAAUCAAGCCCGGACCUGUUCCUCUGUGCCACACGGUAAAACCGAAGCCACACACCCUCUGUGCGUUUCUCCUGUAGUUUCUGUGUGCUUCUUAAGCCCUACACCCCAUGACAGCGGGGCUCCACGAUGUUUGCUGUUACACCCACAGCGCCCAGCAGGGGUCCCAGAAUGCAGCGUGUUCUCAAUAAAUCAUUAUUAAAUGAG